UCAGGAUGAACGCUAGCUACAGGCUUAACACAUGCAAGUCGAGGGGCAGCAUGAUCGAAGCUUGCUUUGAUUGAUGGCGACCGGCGCACGGGUGAGUAACGCGUAUCCAACCUUCCCUAUAGUAGAGGAUAGCCCGGCGAAAGUCGGAUUAAUACUCUAUGUUUUCCAAUGCAGACAUCUAAGUUGGAACAAAGGUUCACCGCUAUAGGAUGGGGAUGCGUCUGAUUAGGUAGUCGGCGGGGUAACGGCCCACCGAGCCAACGAUCAGUAGGGGUUCUGAGAGGAAGGUCCCCCACAUUGGAACUGAGACACGGUCCAAACUCCUACGGGAGGCAGCAGUGAGGAAUAUUGGUCAAUGGGCGAGAGCCUGAACCAGCCAAAAGUAGCGUGCAGGAUGACGGCCCUAUGGGUUGUAAACUGCUUUUAUACGGGGAUAAAGUGAGGGACGUGUCCCUUUUUGUAGGUACCGUAUGAAUAAGGACCGGCUAAUUCCGUGCCAGCCGCCGC
rnacentral:rRNA from 1 species